UGAGAGUGAAAUGUUUACGAAGAAAACGUAAAAAUUAGGCGGUUAUUUAAAAGUGCGAAGAAGAAGAAUUUAGCAAAUUUCUUACUUGUUAAAUGGUGCCCAGUUUUUAAAAGCUAUUAACGAAAAUAAUACAAUUUCGACUUUAGUUUUUUAUCGUAAUUUUUAAAUGUAAGUUGAAUAAAAGACGACAAUUGCUAAGCAACUGCUAAAAUUUGAAGGAAACGAAGGUCGCCAUUUUUAAACAAAAGAAAAUAUUUCUGCAUGUAUCAUAUGUACGAAGUUUAAUCGACCGAAAAAUAAAUCAUGAAUGGAGAGAUACAAAUGUCUGGUAUAAAGCGUGGAGCUGAUGAAUUAUUAUCACCUUCUGGAAAUGUUAGUAAUGGAUCUGUUAUGAGCCCUCAUCAGAAUCAUGCAGAAAAUAACAAUGAUGCAAAAAAAG
rnacentral:lncRNA from 1 species